rnacentral:rRNA from 1 species
AUUGAACGCUGGCGGCAGGCCUAACACAUGCAAGUCGAACGAGUGGCGGACGGGUGAGUAAUGUCUGGGAAACUGCCCGAUGGAGGGGGGUAACUACUGGAAACGGGAGCUAAUACCGCAUACCAUUGGAUCUGCCCAGAGGGGAUUAGCUUGUAGGUGAGGUAACGGCUCACCUAGGCAACGAUCCCUAGCUGGCCUGAGAGGAUGACCAGCCACACUGGAACUGAGACACGGUCCAGACUCCUACGGGAGGCAGCAGUGGGGAAUAUUGCACAAUGGGCGCAAGCCUGAUAGAGCCAUGCCGCGUGUAUGAAGAAGGCCUUCGGGUUGUAAAGUACUGUCAGCGGGGAGGCGUUACCCGAAGAAGAAGCAACGGCUAACUCCGUGCCAGCAGCCGCGGUAAUUC